rnacentral:rRNA from 1 species
AUACGGAGGAUCCGAGCGUUAUCCGGAUUUAUUGGGUUUAAAGGGUACGUAGGCGGAAUAAUAAGUCAGUUGUGAAAGUUUGCGGCUCAACCGUAAAAAUGCCGUUGAAACUGUCGGACUUGAGUGUAAAUGAGGUAGGCGGAAUGCGUGGUGUAGCGGUGAAAUGCAUAGAUAUCACGCAGAACUCCGAUUGCGAAGGCAGCUUACUAAGCUACAACUGACACUGAAGCACGAAAGCGUGGGGAUC